ACAAGCUAAAAUGGCAGAUUUGAAACUCUAUGGAUUUUGGUAUAGUCCUUUUACUUUCAGGGUGCUAUGGACCUUGAAGCUAAAGGGUCUAUCAUAUGAGUACAUAGAUGAAGAUCGCUUCAACAAGAGUCCUCAACUUCUUCAAUACAACCCAGUGCACAAGAAAACUCCAGUGUUCGUUCAUGAUGGAAAACCAAUGUGAGUCCAUGAUCAUUGUUGAAUACAUUGAUGAGUUAUGGCCACAGAAUCCACUAGUUCCUGCUGAUCCUCAUGAGAAGCUGUGGCACGAUUUUGGGUCAGAUAUGUUGACGACAUGGUACAUUUUUACAAACUCCACAUCUAUAUCUUAUACUGUGAUUUAUAGCGUGGAUCAACUUAUUUUUUAAUAGGCACUCAAAAAAUGCUCAUAGAAGUUUCUCCGAGAAUUGAUAUUGCCUUUAGAAUUAAUUGCAGAAGGAUUUUCAAACGUGCAAGUAGUCACAAUAAUGUUCAAUUUUAGUUUUAGUUAAUUUAAUUUACAAUUGUAUUUUUUUUCCUCAAUAUUUUCUAUGCUUUAAGCGUCCUAUAUAUUUUUUAAAGAUAUCUGCAGUUGCAUCUCCACUCUUUCUAAGCAAUGACAAUGCAGAGCGAGAGAAGGUUAUAAAGGACAUAUGGGAGCGAUUCGGAGUGAUUGAGGAUCAGUGUUUGGGUGAUCACAAAAAAUUCUUUGGAGGAGACACUUUUAACAUUGUGGACAUAGCUUUUGGGUCUUUUGUGAAAAUUCUUGUGGGUUUAGGAGAUGUGUUUGAAGUGAAGAUCCUACCAGCUGAGAGUUUCCCUCGCUUGCAUACAUGGUUUAAUAAUUUCAUGGAUGUUCCAGUCAUCAGAGACAACACCUCUGAGCAGGAGAAAUUGGUGUCUUAUGUAAAGCCUAUGAGAACAAAUUUUGGCAUCUUCCAGAAAAUGAUAUACAAAGCAUUUCUAUCGUUUAGAACCAUAUAUCAUCUCAUAUAUGUAUUCCUUUAUGCUACUACCAGUCUUAAUUUGUUUGGGUUUGUCUUCUUGAUGUACGUUUGAAAGAAAUAAAAGUGCUACCUGCUAAGUGGCAUUGGUAAUUAGAUGGAGUUAUGGAUUUAAAUCUUUGUUAUUGAUUUGAGUUUAUCUUAAAACAUAAGUGUGUAUGUAAGUGUUUGAGAGAGUGGCCUACCUCUAAAUUGUUUGGAGCUUAUUUUAAUGAGUUCUUUAUAUUAGCUUAUGAAUAAGAGCUUAUGCUUAUAUAUAUAUAUAUAUAUAUAUAUAUAUAUAUAUAAUGUAUGAUAUGAGAAAUGUGUUCUUAUAUAAGAAAAUAAGAAUAAAUUAUGAUCGUUAGAUCUAAUCACGAAUGAUCAAGAUUAAAACAAUUUAAUGCUCGCAUGACCACUUAAAAAUGUCAUGUGACUUUUAUAAAAUGUCACAUGACUCAAUGUUUUAAUCUUGACUAUUCAUGAUUAGAUCUAACAAUAAUGAUUUAUUCUUAUUUUCUCAUAUAAGAACAUCUUUCUUAUAUGAUACAUCCUCUCUCACACACACACAAACACAUCCACACACACACACACACACAUAUAUAUAUAUAUAUAUAUAUAUAUAUAUUCUAUUUUCAGCUCAUUCUAAUAAGCUUAUCAAAUUAACUUAUGAAUAAGCGAUUAUUAUCAUAAACGUAACUAAAUUAUAUACUCGAACAUGCUCUUAAGAUUUAAUUUCACUUUUGAUCCCCUAGUUCUGACUGUGUGUCUUUAGUCCCCCAAUUAUUUUUUUUUGACAAAUUUAGUCAUCAACUUUCUAAUUGUUGCAAACCAAGUUGCUCUAUCAUUAUUACUUGAUUUAUGUUUUUUUUAGGAUAAAUCAGCUAAGGCAAUCUAAGAGAAAUUGGAGAAAAACUAUGGAGAUUUCAAAUGGUAGAUGACUCUAACGCGCCCCUCUUAUGCAAAAGCUCGUAUGAGCUUGAAGUGUGGAGAAUGCACAGACACACCUAUCAUGUGCUAUUAUUAUUUUUUUAUUAGAAGAAUUGAGAGCGACGAUGAUUGAAGUCUAGAACACUUGAUCAUUAAGGCUCUAAUAAUGUUAAAAACCAAUUAUCUCAAAAACUUAAGUUGUUGGGUAAUUAUCACAUGAAUUGAUGACAGUGUUUUUUCUUUUCUUUUAGUGAUUCAUCUUUGACACAAAUAGCCAUAAAAUAACAAGUGAUUGCCAGUAAUUGUUUUGACUGGGCAAAAAUAGCUUAGCUUUUUGGGAAGAACAAUUUAACACACCCAAAAAAAAACUUUUGCUAAAAAAUAAAUUUCUUUCUUUUCUUAUGUUAUUUAUUAUCCACAUCAAUUUUUUUUUCAUUUCUUUUUCUCACCUAAAAAUUUUUAUUUUUCACCUCUUUCACUCUACUCAUUUUUUUUCUUCUUGUUUUCACUCCUAAACCAAGCAAAGCAAAAAGGUCGGUUUGGUUUACUGUUACAUAAAAUUAUGUUGGAUAAAAUGAAAUUGAUAUAAUUAUGUUUGAUAAAAUUAAAUUCACAAGAAUGAAUAUAUAUUUGAGAAUGAUGUGUAAAAGUAAGUUUAAAAAAUAAAUGUUAUUUAAAUGGAAUAAAAUGAAAUCAUAGAUAAAAAUUCUAAAAUGGAUAUAAGACAAUGAAUAUAAUAUAAAGGUAGAUUUCAAAUUGGGUAAUAUUGUAAUCUCAAAACACAUUUUUUCUUUAACAUAAAAUUUAUAUGUGAAGACAUUUUUUUAUUACAAAUGCAUUCCAUUCUUUUCCAUGCACACCAGAUAAAAUCGAAUCACAUUCUAAAUGUUUACAGCACUAAAAUAUCUAUCAAUCAUGAUGAGAAUUGUUAAUCCGCGAAGACAUAUACCAAUUGACUAAGCAAUAACCAUCUCAACUAUGUAUUCUAUCUUCCAUGCCAAGACAUUUCAUUUGGCAUCGGUGUCAUCUAUAUCUUGUCUGCAAGUUGUUAGAAAUUUUAAUUUUUUUUAUUGUAAUGUUGAUUAUGUAUUGUUUCUUUUACUCCACCUAUAUUUAAGUUGUAGGUUAUAAUUUUUUAUCUUUUAAUGUAGUCCAAAUUCACACCUCGAAUUCUGUGUUUUCUUUCCUUCCUUCUUUCAUUCCCUCCAUUCAACCAUUAGUGCUUUAAAGUGAGCAUGGAAAAAGCCCAAUUAAAAAAAAUAAGUUUAUUUAUUAGUUGGUGAUUUAAGCACUGACGACAUUCAAAGUUGUUCCAUCCCGUCAUCACCUUAUGAACACUUGCAAAAUAAAAUAAUAAAAAAGUAUCAUUAGAUUAAAAAACAUGCACAUAUCCCUGAUAUGCAUGAACUAUGAAGGAAGCUUCACAUAUGAUUUUGUCCUAGUGUUUGUUCCUCUGACCAUUACUUUGUUAACAAUUUGUAUUUUUCUUUUGACAUUUGAACUUGCUGAACAAGUUAGAGGACUCAAUGGAUCAUUAUAUUUCUAUUUCUAUAUAAAGACUUUGAGUUUAGUGUUGGUUAAGGCAAACACAGGCUAAAAUGGCAGAUUUGAAACUCCAUGGAUUUUGGUAUAGUCCUUUUACUUUCAGGGUGCUAUGGACCCUAAAGCUGAAGGGCAUACCAUUUGAGUACAUUGAGGAAGAUCGCUUCAACAAGAGUCCUCAACUUCUUCAAUACAACCCAGUGCACAAGAAAACUCCAGUGUUCGUUCAUGAUGGAAAACCCAUAUGUG
rnacentral:lncRNA from 1 species